rnacentral:rRNA from 1 species
CCUACGGGAGGCAGCAGUGAGGAAUAUUGGUCAAUGGGCGCGAGCCUGAACCAGCCAAGUCGCGUGAAGGAUGACUGCCCUACGGGUUGUAAACUUCUUUUAUAAAGGAAUAAAGUGUGGCACGUGUGCCCUUUUGUAUGUACCUUAUGAAUAAGGAUCGGCUAACUCCGUGCCAGCAGCCGCGGUAAUACGGAGGAUCCGAGCGUUAUCCGGAUUUAUUGGGUUUAAAGGGUGCGUAGGUGGGUUGUUAAGUCAGUUGUGAAAGUUUGCGGCUCAACCGUAAACAUGCAAUUGAUACUGGAGGUCUUAGUUAGAGUUGAGGUAGGCGGAAGUGGUGGUGUAGCGUGGAAAUGCU